rnacentral:rRNA from 1 species
UGUGACUGCGUACCUUUUGUAUAAUGGGUCAGCGACUUAUAUUCAGUGGCAAGGUUAACCAUCUAGGGGAGCCGUAGGGAAACCGAGUCUUAACUGGGCGUUCAGUCUCUGGAUAUAGACCCGAAACCAGGUGAUCUAGCCAUGGGCAGGUUGAAGGUUGAGUAACAUCAACUGGAGGACCGAACCGACUAAUGUUGAAAAAUUAGCGGAUGACUUGUGGCUAGGGGUGAAAGGCCAAUCAAACCUGGAGAUAGCUGGUUCUCCCCGAAAGCUAUUUAGGUAGCGCCUCGGACGAAUACUACUGGGGGUAGAGCACUGUUAAGGCUAGGGGGUCAUCCCGACUUACCAGGGAAACAACCCAGACCGCCAGCUAAGGUCCCAAAUUACUACUAAGUGGGAAACGAUGUGGGAAGGCUCAGACAGCCAGGAUGUUGGCUUAGAAGCAGCCAUCAUUUAAAGAAAGCGUAAUAGCUCACUGGUCGAGUCGGCCUGCGCGGAAGAUGUAACGCUCCUCGCCGGAAGACCAAGGGUUCCUGUCCAACGUUAAUCGGGGCAGGGUAAGUCGACCCCUAAGGCGAGGCCGAAAGGCGUAGUCGAUGGGAAACGGGUUAAUAUUCCCGUACUUCU